UACAGAGGUCUCAAGCGUUGUUCGGAUUCAUUGGGCGUAAAGGGUGCGUAGGUGGCGUCGUAAGUCAGGUGUGAAAUUUCGGAGCUUAACUCCGAAACUGCAUUUGAUACUGCGGUGCUUUGAGGACUGGAGAGGAGACUGGAAUUUACGGUGUAGCAGUGAAAUGCGUAGAGAUCGUAAGGAAGACCAGUGGCGAAGGCGGGUCUCUGGACAGUUCCUGACACUGAGGCACGAAGGCCAGGGGAGCAAACGGG
rnacentral:rRNA from 1 species